rnacentral:tRNA from 1 species
GCCCCGUUGGACCUCUGGUGAGGUUCUCGGCCCUUCAAGCCGAAGAGGUGGAUUCGAUUUCCACACGGGGCACCA